AUUGAACGCUGGCGGCAGGCCUAACACAUGCAAGUCGAGCGAGCGGCGGACGGGUGAGUAAUGUCUGGGGAUCUGCCUGAUGGAGGGGGAUAACUACUGGAAACGGUAGCUAAUACCGCAUACCAUCAGAUGUACCCAUAUGGGAUUAGCUAGUUGGUGGGGUAAAGGCUCACCAAGGCGACGAUCCCUAGCUGGUCUGAGAGGAUGACCAGCAACACUGGAACUGAGACACGGCCCAGACUCCUACGGGAGGCAGCAGUGGGGAAUAUUGCACAAUGGGAGCAAGCCUGAUGCAGCCAUGCCGCGUGUAUGAAGAAGGCCUUAGGGUUGUAAAGUACUUUCAGCGGGGAGGCGUUACCCGCAGAAGAAGCACCGGCUAACUCCGUGCCAGCAGCCGCGGUAAUAC
rnacentral:rRNA from 1 species